rnacentral:rRNA from 1 species
GACGAACGCUGGCGGCGUGCUUAACACAUGCAAGUCGAACGGAAAGGCCCUGCUUUUGUGGGGUGCUCGAGUGGCGAACGGGUGAGUAACACGCGAGUAACCUGCCCUUGACUUUGUGAUAACUCCAGGAAACUGGGGCUAAUACCGGAUAGGAGCUCUUGCUGCAUGGUGUGGGUUGGAAAGUUGCGGCGGUUGGGGCUGGACUCGCGGCUUAUCCGCUUGUUGGUGGGGUAGGGGCUUACCAAGGCUUUGACGGGUAGCCGGCCUGAGAGGGUGACCGGCCACAUUGGGACUGAGAUACGGCCCAGACUGCUACGGGAGGCAGCAGUGGGGAGUAUGGCACAAUGGGCGGAAGCGUGAUGCAGAAACGCCGCGUGCGGGAUGACGGCCUUCGGGUUGUAAACCACUGUCGCCUGUGACGAAGCGGGAGUGACGGUAAUGGGUAAAGAAGCACCGGCUAACUACGUG